UGGGCAUACACAUGAGAAGGCUGUGAAAUGGUGUUUCAUUCCGAAGAGUUCUUAUCAUAUAAGACUCUUGAUUUUGAUAAACCUUUUCAUGUGGUGGUUACAAGUCACCGUGAGAUGAUUUUCACACCCCAUCUACAACUAUAAAUAGGGGACGGCACCGAGGGGAGGGAUCAUUCAAUUCUCACAUACUCUCUUAUCUUGCUUAAGACAAGAAUCCUCUCCUCCUCUCUCUUACACCCCUAGUUCUCUUAGGACAAGCCUAGGAUAAGGCUCUAGAGGAUUUUAAGAGGUCUAGUCAAGUUGCCAAGAAGCCAAGAAGUGGUCCAAGUCAAGUUUAAGAAGCAGUUUGACCAAACUGAUCAAGUCAGGGUCAACUCGGGUCUGGCGAUUGGAUUCAAAAGGAGCGACUCUUUGAAUCAAUUCCUGUGUGGAUCACCAUUGGGUAUAUGCUUGUGUACCUUGUGGAGUUAUUAAAAAUAAUGAUUAAAGUAUUUAUAUAAUUAUAUGCUUCAUUUCAUUAUAAUUUAUUAAUUUGAUUGAAUGCAUCAAAGGGGAUCCUGGGGUUUAGAAUUUUGGGUGUUCUUGGGUUUCAUA
rnacentral:lncRNA from 1 species